CAGAAAAGCCCCAGAUAAGGGCGCGUUUCAGACCGUUAUGAGAUAAUCAAUAAAAUGCUGCAAGUUUGGUAAAGCUUGGAGCAUAAGGAAAUGAAAGGAAAUGGUUGGAAACUAGUUGAAGUCUAGUAACACAGAGCCUUUUAUGCCAGACAGAGGAUAGACUUCAUCUUAUGAUGGAGUAACAGAGAAUAGGAGGUUUUUAAUUAUAUGGGUAAGUAAUAAACUAAACGGUUUUUGCAAAGAUUAUCAAGGCAGUAACAGAGAACGGCAUGGAUAGAGACUGGAGAUAGCCAUGAUUUAGGACAGGCUUGCAAUAAUCCUUGAAAAUUCUGCAAACAGACGUGCUUUAAGGCAAUUGUGAUGGGGGCACGGUACUCAUUUACCCAAGUUACCUGUUAAGUGGUCAGCACUCUGUGACAGAUUAGAUGUAGAAAAGAGGAAGAAGCUGAGAAUGGCACAAAUGUUCCCAGCUGAGGUAGUUUUCAUGGACAGUAUUGCUACUCAAGGGAGAAAAUAUUUAUCAGAAAGACAAUUUUGGUAAAGAAUGAAUUUAAGUUUUGAAUAGAGUAAGUAUACGAAGUCUUUAAACAUCUACUAGAUGUUGGCAGGCAGAUGGAAAUAGUCUUUCUGAAGCUUCCAAAAGAAAACUAACGGAUAUGCAUUAGUAGUUACCACUGUACAGGGAGUAGUUAAUCUUUUUCAGAACAGUGAUAAAACUACUGAGAAUGGCCCAAGUGUGACUGUUUUUUUGUUCGUCUGUUUUUGAGACAGGGUCUUGCUGUAUUGCCCAGGCUGGUCUCCAAAUCCUGAGCUAAAGCGAUCCUCCUACCUCAGCCUCCCAAGUAGGAAAGUGACUGUUACUGACUGACAGGGCAGUUUUAAAAAAAUGAUCUUGGAGAAGACUGGUCAAAAAGAGUAUGCAGAGUAAAUAUACAUGCUAGGAUGAAACUCCAGAAGAGCCGGGGGGUGGGGGAAGCUGACUGAGAAGGACGGGUCAGAAAGGAUGAAGAACAAGGGCAGAGCUUUCUGAUGACAGAACGGUCAACAGUAGGUGAUGAGAAGAGGCCUCACAGGAUGAGACUUACAGAGAGAUGCUGGUUCUAGCAAUGAAGUCACUGGUGACCUCUGUGACUCUUGGUAGCACCUGCCUCACUCAUGGAUUCAGAAUUUAAUUAAGUAUAUGUGGUGUUAAUGAAAAUGACACUGAAGCCCAGCUCAAAUCACAGUUACAACCACUAGCAAAAGAGAAUCUGUACAAUUAAUCCCAUUACAAUUGAAGAUAAGAAAAUCAAUAAAUAUGCUUGUUUCAAAAGAAUUCUGUGAAAUCAAAGCACUAAGAGUCACCACGUCCUUUAGAGGCACAUACGAAACACAAGGCCCUGGAUCAUCCUCUGACCACAGCAAAAAUGUUAAGGAAAAGAAACAGAUCAUUCACUUUGAAAGGUGUGAU